rnacentral:rRNA from 1 species
GAUGAACGCUGGCGGCGUGCCUAAUACAUGCAAGUCGAACGGUGUAUCGCAAGAUACAUAGUGGCGAACGGGUGAGUAACGCGUUGGUGACCUGCCCCGAAGAGUGGGAUACCAGUUCGAAAGGACUGCUAAUACCGCAUGCGGUUCAUGAGAUUAGAGGCUUAUGAACCAAAGGAGACAUUCGCUUCGGGAGGGGCCUGCGUCCCAUCAGCUAGUUGGUAGGGUAACGGCCUACCAAGGCGAUGACGGGUAGGGGACCUGAGAGGGUGGCCCCCCACAAUGGAACGUGAACAACGGUCCAUACACCUACGGGUGGCAGCAGUAGGGAAGU